rnacentral:rRNA from 1 species
AGGACGAACGCUGGCGGCGUGCUUAACACAUGCAAGUGGGGCGACGAACCAGGCUUCGGCCUGGGGCAAAGCCGCGAACGGGUGAGUAACACGUGGGUAACCUGCCCCGAAGACUGGGACAACCCGGGGAAACCCGGGCUAAUACCGGAUGUGGUCAUCGUUCACAAGGACGAUGAGCAAAGGAAGCUUCGGCCUCCGCUUCGGGAUGGGCCCGCGGCCCAUUAGCUUGUUGGUGAGGUAACGGCUCACCAAGGCUUCGAUGGGUAGCUGGUCUGAGAGGACGAUCAGCCACACUGGGACUGAGACACGGCCCAGACUCCUACGGGAGGCAGCAGUGGGGAAUCUUGCGCAAUGCGCGAAAGCGUGACGCAGCAACGCCGCGUGGGGGAAGACGGCCUUCGGGUUGUAAAGCUCUUUUGGCGGGGACGAUAAUGACGGUACCCGCAGAAUAAGCCCGGCUAACUUCGUGCCAGCAGCCGC